GAUGAACGCUAGCUACAGGCUUAACACAUGCAAGUCGAGGGGUAACGAGAGGAAAGCUUGCUUUCCUUGUCGACGACCGGCGCACGGGUGAGUAACGCGUAUCCAACCUGCCCCCAACUAGGGAAUAACCUUGCGAAAGUAAGACUAAUACCCUAUAAUUUCCUCAGAUGUCAUCUGACGAGGAAUAAAGAUUUAUCGGUAGUGGAUGGGGAUGCGUCUGAUUAGCUUGUUGGCGGGGUAACGGCCCACCAAGGAAACGAUCAGUAGGGGUUCUGAGAGGAAGGUCCCCCACAUUGGAACUGAGACACGGUCCAAACUCCUACGGGAGGCAGCAGUGAGGAAUAUUGGUCAAUGGGCGGAAGCCUGAACCAGCCAAGUAGCGUGCAGGAUGACGGCCCUAUGGGUUGUAAACUGCUUUUAUACAGGAAUAAAGUUAGCCACGUGUGGUUAUUUGUAGGUACUGUAUGAAUAAGGACCGGCUAAUUCCGUGCCAGCCGCCGCGGUAA
rnacentral:rRNA from 1 species